GGAAACGACAUUCUCAAUAGCAGUUCGCCUGCUGUUUUCCGUAAUACACGGAAGCAUGUUACCACUACUUGAUUGCCUUCCUUUUCUGAGUACUUCUGUUGUAUUAAUGGGUUUUAUCUUUGCAAAAUAAUGAUGCGGGAAAUAUAUUACGAAGUUUUCUUUCAUUUCUGCUGAUGAAAGGAGAUGACAAGCGGACAAAAGAAAGGUUUUGAACGGAUUGAAAGCAGGUGAACUGAUCUCGGAAUUGGAGAUAUGCCCACCGUCGGCGGUUGGAUUAAGCUGGGUUGCGAGCUACUUGCUGGGACCCCGUUAACAGAUACCGACCGUCCGGGCGGUGUUUCCGGAGUUAAACCGGCCGCCCUUACUAUCAUUUCCACCCAUAAUAGCGAAGUUUUAAAUCGCUGCGCUAUCAUUUGAAAGGACCAUCCCUGCCGAAACAACCGCAGAACAACCGGUCGCAGCGCGUCGUACCGCUGUCGAUCUUGCUCGGUGAAGAUGACCGUUCUCCCAGCAGCGAUCAGCACUCGCUUGAUAAAGUGACGGGACACACUGAACUUCCGCAUGAUGUGGACGCAACUGCAACCUUUGUCAAAUAGAUCCACGAUCUCCAGUUUCUCUUCCUGUGUGAGGUGUCGCGUAUUGAUACUUGUAGUUUGUUUCUCGGGCAUCUUGGGAUGUCGCAGUCCCACACUCCUGUUCGAGCCGCUUGGUUUUUCUCCUUAUAUUAGGACUACCAACUCACAAGUAUUCGUUAUGAUUUUUUUUCUUUUUCCCCAGCGUUGACUAAUAUGACUGCGCCGAUCAGAGUCUUUGCGACUACAAUACAUAAUACUAUGCUGCCGCGCAUUCCAAAGCACUUGUUUGUAAUUAGGUGUUGUCUCACGUAUGUUAUUUUAUCGCCAGCAGAUUUACAGCCUGAAAAUCGUUUAUGCGCGCAACAACGAUUCCAAACGUAU